AGAAAUUCAAUAUUGUCAGUGGAACUCUGAGCAGCACUAUAUUCAGAUCUCCCCAAAUAGAUUUCUCUUACCUCAUUUUGGACCAGAUGGUUUACUGCUUCAGCUCCUGAAACAUGAGGUUGCCGGCCACAGCAGUGUAUGAAGCUGAGCAGGGGCCACCUGGGUCAUCAGAGGAACAUUGCUGUGUUCUAGGACUGAAGACCAACAUGAAGGCUCCUCGGACCUCCCGAGGGCCACUAAAGGCAGGAAGAAGACUUGCCUUCCAUGUCCUUGAAGAUGCCACUCACAGCUGGGCAGUACCUCCUGGAGCUCAUCCAAGGGCAUCCAUCACAGGACUCUCAACUCAAAGCUGAGGUCAGCUAUAUCUCAGAGCCAGAACAGGAAGGAAAAUUCAAAUCUCACCUGCACAGAUGCUCCAGACUUCUUUAUCUUCUUUAUCUCCAGGAUUCUUCUUGAAAGUUACAAAAUUAAUACCCUUCUGCUACUUAAUGAUUCAUUAUGUAUGUGUAACCAGUGUCUUGCUUUCUGUAGAUUCUGAUGCUUUGAAAUACAAUUUAAAAAUAAAUAAAUAAGAAGCAAACUUUUAAAAA
rnacentral:lncRNA from 1 species